GACAGGGCGGGACCCCCACCCCGGGCAGGGCACCCUAAAACCGCCCAGGCCCCGCAGCGGAGCCUGGCACAGCUUCCUGGCCCCCUCACUCCGUGGGCCGACAGGCAGCCUCCCUUCACAGCCCUCCACCAGCCGCCCCCCAGCCAGGCUCUUAGGAUGCCACUUUUGAGAUAGAAUCAACAAAUUCGAGGUCAAAAUCUGGCCUUGUCCUCCUAAGUGCAGUAUACCGAGGGUCCUUGGAGAGAGGGGAGGUGAUGGAUGCAGAGAUUUGAAGGAGAUAGAGGGAAAGUUGUAGCUGGGUUCCCCCUGGGUUCGUGAAUUGGUGUUUUGUUUUGAAAACCCAGAUACUUUCACCCUCCUGAGACCUGCUGUUUUUAUGAAAAGCCUUGUUUUCAUCCAAAUGCCUCUAAUAACAAGACUACAGGUGAGAGGAAAUCCCGGGGUACAAGCAGGGCCACAGGAACCCCUCUAAGAAGAGAGGAAGGUUUUGGGAACCCAACCUUGACCUGCACAGGCAGAUCUGCUGUUGGAGCAAUUUGUCUUUAUGUGAACUUACAUGUGUACUGGAUUGUAAAGACAACUGAAUAAAUUUAAUGCAUUUCAUGACUCAUUUGCCAGCACUUCUGAGAUACCUGAAUCUACACACUCCGUCCUUUGUUAUUGAGCAAUAAAUAGAGAGACUGAGUAACCUACAAGGAAGAUUCAUUCAAGGUUUAAUCCAAGAAAGGGAUCCAAGACCAGGAAGUGAGCAGAGUACUGUUGCUUUAUAAUCCAGAAAGAAAAUACGGAUCAAGAGCUCAGCCUUGUCCGUGAGUGAAAUUAGUCUAAAGAAUGUGAGAUCUGUAAUUAUGAAACUGACUGAAAUACAGAUUAUUAAAAAAAAUACAGGUCUUCAGUGCCUCAACAGACUCUCCUAUGGAAACUCAUGGAAAACAGAUUGUAUUUCCUGCUUAUACCAAACCAUUUAUAUUUGGUGUCAAUUGCGCCAGGGAUCCAAACUACUCAUUUCUGUCUGUAGCAUACUCUCAGUAAAAAUUGAA